rnacentral:tRNA from 2 species
AAGACACUAGUAAAAUUUAAUUACACGGCCUUGUCAGGGCCAAGUUGUGAGCUAACUCCUCACGUAUCUUA